UACGGAGGAUGCAAGCGUUAUCCGGAAUUAUUGGGCGUAAAGGGUCCGCAGGUGGUGAAUCAAGUCCGUUGUCAAAGCGUGGAGCUUAACUCCAUAAGGGCAAUGGAAACUGAUUGACUAGAGUACAGUAGGGGUUGCGGGAAUUCCCAGUGUAGCGGUGAAAUGCGUAGAUAUUGGGAAGAACACCAGCGGCGAAGGCGCGCGACUGGACUGAGACUGACACUGAGGGACGACAGCUAGGGGAGCUAAAGGG
rnacentral:rRNA from 1 species